UACAGAGGUCCCAAGCGUUGUUCGGAUUCAUUGGGCGUAAAGGGUGCGUAGGUGGCGCGCUAAGUCGGGUGUGAAAUUUCGGAGCUUAACUCCGAAACUGCAUUCGAUACUGGUGUGCUCGAGGACUGGAGAGGAGACUGGAAUUCAUGGUGUAGCAGUGAAAUGCGUAGAGAUCAUGAGGAAGACCAGUGGCGAAGGCGGGUCUCUGGACAGUUCCCGACACUGAGACACGAAGGCCAGGGGAGCAAACGGG
rnacentral:rRNA from 1 species